UGAGAUAAUAGAUUGAAU
rnacentral:miRNA from 1 species